UAAAAUAGGAAAAAGUGUAGAAAAAUCUUAAAAGUGUAAAAAAAAAAAACAAUUUUUAUAAGAAAGUCAGGAUGCACAAAUAUAACAAUAGAAAUAAUGAUAAUACUGCAAUAACUUUCAGCGAUUGCCACUCGAAUACGAUACUUUCUAAAAAAAAAUAAAUCCCUAUUCCAUAUUAAUAGUUUAGCAGUUUAUUUCGUAUUAUCUGAUUUUACUCUAUUUGGGAUAGAAAUUUUUCGAUCGCCAGAGAACGUUUCAUCUCGCGCCAGGCUUAAUACUCUCGCGAAUUCCCGCGUACGUAUUAAUGUGCGAUUACUCACGUUGACACGUCAACGAGUAUUCCGAAAUGGUUCCAGACCGAAUGUCCGCGUGCGUCACGCAGCUCGCCACCGUGUGACGGCGACGGCUAUCGACGCCCACUUGAUACACGUGCGUGUGUAUAUCGUCGUCGUCAUCGUCGUCGUCGUCUAUCAACAAAAGGCUCCACUUGCGAGCAUUGACGGUCAGCGUACGUAUAUACGUACUCACAUAUAUGUAUAUAUAUAUCGGCAAAACGUAUAUCUUGUGUUAAUAUUAUCGCAGUACCAUUCACGGCUUUCCACGGUGCAAACGCACGCAUUGCGUGCGAGCCGCAAUGACGUCCGGCGAGAGAAUGAGGGAAAGAGAGAGAGAGAGAGAGAGAGAGAGAGAGCGAGAGAACAGGAAAAACGGGAGGAUAGGGACGGACGUCCGUAACAAAGAAGAAAGGGGGAGACAAAAAGAAGAAUGAAAGCUUCACCCACGCGGCCUGCAAAUUCCGCACAAAAGCGGACAAAAGCCGUGCUUACAUCCUUAGCGACACGCAGAGGAGCGUCGACUACCUGCACUGUCUUCGCAGCAAGCCUCUACGACGUUUCCAUAAAUUGUCAAGAAUUGUCACGAAUGAAGAUACAUUUGAAAAAGGCGAAAUAACUGUUCAAAAAUAUUUAGGCCCUCAAGACACCCAAUCGUGCCCUGAAGAAAGGGUUUGGUAAUAACUACCAAAUGUUGGGUGAAAUAAUUGGCACUUGUAAUUGGUUACCAAAAAUAAUUUUCCUAAGAUUCCAAACCGUCCUUUCCGAGGAAAACUUUGUUCGAAAUACAUAGCACACGUAACGUGUAAAAUUUCCCUCGGAGAGGAUAUUUUGGAAUGUAGAUUAAGUAUUUAAUAAGAAUCACCAAAUUUGUCUAUCCGUGUUCGAUCGAUUUAUAUCCAUGGAAGUUUCUCGAAAUUUCAAAAAUAAUCGAAUUUUUAAUACAUUUUAUUUUUGUCCAAACGUACAGAAGCUUGUUCUAAAAAUUUGAACAAAUAUUUAUGAACUUUUAGGAUCUUUUUUUGUGCUCUCAAAAAAGAUUUUUAAUAACAAGACUAAAAAUAUUUUUGACGUGCUCAAUCUUAUGCUAUAUAGAACUAAAGUAAUGUGAAAAAAGCUGCAAGGUCGAUAAUUGUUCUGUGUCGAAUUAUAUAAGAUUAAAUUAUUAUACAAGAGUUAUACGUGUAAAUUUCAGCUAUACUUUUUACAUAAAAAUUUAUUUGAUGUUAUAAUGUACGAUGAUUAAUCGCUACGCAGUUCGGAACAUCGUCGACAGGGAACUGUGCGGACAAGCACUUUCCCAUAAGAAACGACGCGAUGCAUUAUAAUUAAUGCAUCCGCGGAAAACCCAACAAACUUUGUCCACGGGAUGAAGUAUUUUUAGUAGUCCACAAAAUGAGCUUCUUUGUGGGUUAUUGUGAUU